GUUAUUGUAGCUUAAAUAAAGCAUGGCACUGAAGUUGCCAAGAUGGAUAGCUAACAUAUCCUAAAAACA
rnacentral:tRNA from 1 species